CCUACGGGAGGCAGCAGUGGGGAAUAUUGCACAAUGGGCGAAAGCCUGAUGCAGCGACGCCGCGUGAGGGAUGACGGCCUUCGGGUUGUAAACCUCUUUCAGCUACGACGAAGCGUGAGUGACGGUAGUAGCAGAAGAAGCACCGGCCAACUACGUGCCAGCAGCCGCGGUAA
rnacentral:rRNA from 1 species